rnacentral:rRNA from 1 species
UACGGAGGGUGCAAGCGUUAUCCGGAUUCACUGGGUUUAAAGGGCGCGUAGGCGGCCUUCUAAGUCGAACGUGAAAUCCCCGGGCUCAACCCGGGAACUGCGUCCGAGACUGGAAGGCUCGAAUCCGGGAGAGGGAUGUGGAAUUCCUGGUGUAGCGGUGAAAUGCGCAGAUAUCAGGAAGAACACCCGUGGCGAAGGCGGCUCUCUGGGACGGUACUGACGCUGAGACGCGAAAGCGUGGGGAGCGAACAGG